AGUCUUCAGUAAAGAUACUAUAUAAAUGACAGCCUCUGAUUGCAGCACAGUUACCCAUCAAAACUCGAAUCCUGAACUUGACAGCUGCAAUUUCUAUCUGAGCAUA